CCUUAGAUGUUCUGGGCCGCACGCGCGCUACACUGACAGAGCCAACGAGUAUAAACCUUGACCGAGAGGUUUGGGUAAUCUUGUUAAACUCUGUCGUGCUGGGGAUAGAGCAUUGCAAUUAUUGCUCUUCAACGAGGAAUAUCUAGUAAGCGCGAGUCAUCAGCUCGCGUUGAUUACGUCCCUGCCCUUUGUACACACCGCCCGUCGCUACUACCGAUUGAAUGGCUCAGUGAGACCUUCGGACUGGCUCAGGGAGGGCGGCAACGUCCACCCAGAGCCGGAAAGUUGGUCAAACUUGGUCAUUUAGAGGAAGUAAAAGUCGUAACAAGGUUUAGAGUAAGAUCCUUCCGGGGUGACGCUUAUGAGAAGCCUUUGUGACCCAGCAAUGGGUACCCUACCGCGACUGUAAACAAGAAUGUGGGUAUUAAAUCGCAAGUCAGUCUACAGAUUGGCAACACUUUCGAAUUGCGGGAACAUCCUAAAGCCCAUCCUCCACCAACCUAACAGGGAAACCUGUGUAGGGGCUCGUGUUAAUAGCAUGAGAUAUGGUAAUAGCGAGGUGGGAUGAAUCAAUGGGUAAUCCGCAGCCAAGCCCUAAAGCAGCCAUGCCAUGGGAAAGGUUCACAGACUAAGUGGAAGUGGGUCAGCUGUGCUUAAGCACCUCUGGCUUAAGAUAUAGUCGGGUUCUGUGAGAAAUCAUGGAAGAGUCACAUAUAAACCGUUCCGUAGGUGAACCUGCGGAAGGAUCAUUAUAAUAAAAACUCUUUGCUCACGCGAAGUUUUAAACCCACUGUGAACCAAAAAACCUUUAUAGCUUCGGUAGCCUUGCUGUGGCCUUGUGUCAUGACAUGUCAGCCUGCCGGUGGCGUCCAAUCAAACUCUUGUUUAAAAAAUAUAGUCUGAAUCCAAAUUUUCGAAUGAAAAUUAAAACUUUCAACAACGGAUCUCUUGGUUCUCGCAUCGAUGAAGAACGCAGCGAAACGCGAUAGUUAAUGUGAAUUGCAGAAUUCAGUGAAUCAUCGAGUCUUUGAACGCACAUUGCGCCCCUUGGUAUUCCGAAGGGCAUGUCUGUUUGAGCGUCAUUACAACUCCUCGUUAACAAAUUUUUGUUAUACGGUCCUGAGCGUUACCAGAUGCCUUCUCUUGUCUGACAUGAGCUGGCCUGUCGCUUUAAAUACAGCAAUGAAUGCUCUGCCAGCCAGAUCUUGAAAACUUUACGUAGUAGUAUCUCACAAACCGUUUUGUCAAGAGAACUGUGCUUGCCUGAAAAACUUAAACAAUCAACCUCUCUAGGUUUGACCUCAGAUCAGACAAGGAUACCCGCUGAACUUAAGCAUAUCAAUAAGCGGAGGAAAAGAAACCAACAGGGAUUGCCUCAGUAACGGCGAGUGAAGCGGCAACAGCUCAAAUUUGAAAUCUGAUACUUUUAGUGUCCGAGUUGUAAUUUGAAGAGGAUGUUUCGGUUGUGACCAUGGCCUAAGUUCCUUGGAACAGGACGUCGUAGAGGGUGAGAAUCCCGUACACGGCUGAUGGUUUACUUCCAUGUGUAACUCCUUCGAAGAGUCGAGUUGUUUGGGAAUGCAGCUCAAAAUGGGUGGUAAAUUUCAUCUAAAGCUAAAUACUGGCGAGAGACCGAUAGCGCACAAGUAGAGUGAUCGAAAGAUGAAAAGCACUUUGAAAAGAGAGUUAAACAGUACGUGAAAUUGUUGAAAGGGAAGCGUUUGCAAUCAGACUUGCUUGCGGUUGAUCAACGUUCCUUCUGGUUCGUGCACUCUGCCGUUCGCAGGCCAGCAUCGGUUAGAGCGGUGGGACAAAGACUCUGAGAAUGUAGCUCCCUCGGGAGUGUUAUAGCUCAGUGUGUAAUGCCAUCAGUUCUGACCGAGGUCCGCGCUUUUGCUAGGAUGCUGGCAUAAUGGUUGUAAACGAC
rnacentral:rRNA from 1 species